CUGGUGGAAGCCAUGAAAAUCCCUAUAGCAAUAAAUUAGUACCGAUCCUUUCUAGCCUCAACUAGCUCGCUUGGUUCAGCAAUUGCUUUCCACGCUAUUUUGUAUAAGGCCUGCUCCAGUGGUCAAACAUGAAACAGGAGGGAUAAAAAAGAGAGGUGAUGAUGAUUUUUUACCCAAGAAAAAGAAGGAGGGGAGGAAAGACGAGCUUGGAUUCAAUUGCUAUUGCGUGUUAUUCCCAGUUUCUUAUUGGUCAGGGCUUGCGCACUUUGAUUUACAGUUGGUUAGAAAAAAAAAAGUUCAUCUCUAUGGCAUGCAGGGCGUUGUUUGUAAUGCUUCCUGUUUUUUGUUUUUUUUUUUUUAUUAUUUUAUUUUAUCAGGAUCAUCAAUUUCCAACUGAUUUGGAUGAACACACUAUGUAUAUAUGGAUUGUGUUGCUCUUGCUAUUUUAGUUAAUGAAAGCAAAUACAGACCCCUGAUAACGUGCUAACGUGCUUUGCUGAA